CCAAUUUCAGGACCCUUGAGGCCUGAGAAAUAUGCAAAAUCAUAAGGCAACAUAUUGACAGAAGUCCAACACAACUUUUAACUUCAAAUUCAAAACAAUCAAUUCAUGUGUAUAGUAAUUGCACCCAAAACUAAAACUAACCCUGAUCAU